rnacentral:hammerhead_ribozyme from 1 species
AUCCAGCUGAUGAGUUCCAAAAUAGGAAGAAACGCGUGUCUUGGAU